CCUGAUUAAAGUAUAUGGUAGCGAAAAGUGUAGAGUUGUCUUGAAAGCGCAAGUCUUGAAAAUUUACGAAGUCGACACGCUAUGUAGCUAAGGCAUGGUUUAAGAAAUAAACCACUUGAGAUUUCUUAGUGACAUUUUCUCCAUUCUUGCGGUAUCGGGAAUACUGUACAAGUUGUACUACAUCACUAAAUGCACUAUUAUACUUCAAAAAAAAAAAACAAUCGGCAAAAGGAAUUUCACACGUCUUAGCCGUAUUCUGAUGUCGAUUGUAGGCCGUAAAUAUGCAUAAUACUAACGUGUUUGAAGUGAAUAAUUACGGAGAUUAAAAUUGUCUAGAUCCCUUUUGGGUGAAGUUACAUACAACACUUCCUGUUCUGGCCUAACAACAAGCACCGGCACGAAGAUCAAGAAUGAUACAGCAGAGAGGGUUGUAAGAUGACGUCGCGCAAUAGCACACUUACUAGGAUGGCACCACGACAGCAGCAGCAAAAUUGGCAAAUUAUAGCACACAAAGUGGAAAGAUCUUUGCCAUAUGAUUAAUAUGUGAAACUUUCACAUCUGUGACAUUCAAGCAAGUACAAAUCUUUUCAAUAAAAUGAUAUUAGUUUUAAGGACCAUUGAUAGCUGGUGAAACAAGAAUUUCUGUGGGUUUUGCAACAAUGUAAAUGAAGUUACAGAUUUAUUUUUAUACUGAGAGUGAGCUUUUUUAUGACUAUUAACUUGUCUUACCCUCAGUUGCUAGUUCAACAAUGCACUGUUUCAGAAUUCUGUCACAGCUACAACUGCAUUAGAUUGUUAGUAAGAUGAAUAUUUGUAAUAACUGCUGUGUUUUGGCAAAAGAAGCAGAUUUUAACAUAGCAACUCAAAACUUAUCACAGUCCUUCACAAAUCCCUCUCCUCACUUACCGUCUUGGUAUGGUUGACAACUCGGGACCAGUCCUAAGGUGUAACAUUUGUAAUGGCUCCUUUUGUCUGCAUUUCAAUACCUCACUGCACUUAAAUUUCUUGUUGCUUUUUGUCACAUUACUUUUCGCCAAGGUCCAUAUAUUCUCAGCUAUCUUUAAAUGAGCAUGAUACGGAGGAAGCCUGUUUAAACUAUGCCCUUAGUGUUAGCGUUAGCUAGUUUGUUGACCUGGUUGCAUGGAAUGUUUGGCUUGUACAGCAUUACACGUUCCAGUAACUCUGUCUUGUAUAUGCUAUGUUCAGCUUCAUCCAUCACAGCAGAGUGGUAUGUGCAUUGUCCAUUACUAUUGUCGAAUUCAUAGGUAUGUUUCACAGCAGAACAUUAUCUUUACAGCCAGUGCCGGCCGCGGUGGUCUCGCGGUUCUAGGCACGCAGUCCAGAACUGUGUGACUGCUACGGUCGCUGGUUCGAAUCCUGCCUCGGGCAUGGAUGUGUGUGAUGUCCUUAGGUUAGUUAGGUUUAUGUAGUUCUAAGUUCUAGGGGACUGAUGACCACAGCAGUUGAGUCCCAUAGUGCUCAGAGCCAUUUGAACCAUUUUCACAGCCUGUGAACGUGUUCUUGGUCAACAACUUUUAAUGCGAACCUCGUGCUCAGAAGUGCUGCACUGUUGUUAUUAAUGUAAUGCCAACACAAACACUUGUCCACAAUACCUGACAGCUGCAGAACACUUCAACACCAGAAAAUACCACUUUACUAUGAGAGCUGAUGAAUGCAGAUAUGCAUCUAACAUGCAACACUAUGAGAUGCUGUUUACCCACGGCUUGGCAACAGGGGCGCUCUACUGACUCAACAACUGGUGGUGUGGUAGGGAAUCCAGCUGGUCAUUGGUACUGGUGUUACCUGAGUAACGAUGUCACAUCCCCUCUGGUGAGCCAAAUGUCAAAAGCCACAACUGAUUUGAAAUGUGCUAUAAUGUUCAUGGACUUGCUGCUAUUGAACACUAUCUUUCCCAAUGCCUAAUGGGUACCUACAACCUCCUUUCCGGUCACCAUGACCAACUAUAUCAUCAUCCACAAUUACUUCACCUCUGAAGGCACCACGUACAAACAAAUCUCUGAUAAGGCAAUGGGACCCGCAUGGCAUCAUCCUUUGACAGCCUAUUCAUGGACUAUCUAGAGGAAUCCUUCCUAACCACCAGAAUCCUCAACCCCUCAUUGGUUCAGAUUCACUGGUGACAUCUUCGUGAAAUGGAUCAAAGCUGGGACACCCUGUCCACAUUCCUCCAGAAUCUCAACACCUUCUUCCUCAUUCACUUCACCUGGUCCUCCUCAACCCAACAAGCCACAAUCCUCAAUGUUACCUCCAUCUCAAAGAUGGCUACAUCAGUACCUCCAUCCAUAUCGAACCUACCAACCACCAGCAGUACCUCCACUUCGACAGCUGCCACCCAUUCCAUACCAUGAAGUCCCUUUCACGCAGCCUAGUCACCCGAAGCCGUCUCAUCUGCAGUGAUGAGCAGUCUGUCUUCAGAUACACCAAGGGUCUCACUAAGGUCUUAACAGGCUGAAAUUACUCUCCCAACCUUGUACAAAAACAGCUCUCCUGUGCCUUAUCUCUCCAGUCACCCAAUUCCUCUCAAGGUCCCACUAUCCAGCCACAAAGGAGCAUUCCUCUUGUGACUCAGUACCGCCCAGGACUUUAGCAACUGAAUUAUAUUUACUACCAGGAUGUCAACUACCUCUUAUUAUGCCCUGAAAUGAGGAAUAUCCUUCCUACCCCUCCCACAGUGGUAUUCUGCCACCCACUGAACCUACACAAUAUCCUCUUCAAUACCUGCUCCCCCUACUCCAAACCCCCAUUAGUCCCUGUCUUUCACCCACUUUCCCUGCUCCCACUUCAACACUACACAGCCUCACGUUGCACCAAUGCACCCACAGUCCCUUUACUUCUCCCAUUUUCCAUUCCCUUUUGCCUCUCACCCCUGUCUAACCUCCUGACUUUAUCUAGCUGCCCUACCCAUCCUGGAUUUUUCAUUGUUUUAUUUUGAGAUACCUUCCCAUUAAUAGUUACCGCUCGUGCUACAUGGUUUCAAAGCCUGUUAAGUGUGGUCUUAUGCCAGCACUCCUGCUUCAACUGACCCCAGUAUGUUUAAGGUACACACAAUGGUCUCCUUAGAUGUGAUGAAUGCAAAUUUUGCAAUAUAUUAAAAUUUUAUAAUGAUGCUCCAGAAGAGUGAAACAUGACAAUAAAAGUAUUGUUUCCCCUGCAAUCAAGCGUGUUUUUCUUUCAAAAAUUGAAUGUUUUUUUUUGUGAUACUUUUAAUUAACAUAGUUUGCAUACAGAUAGGGGGCUGAUGAGUCUACAAUUCAAAAACUGAGCACUGCUCUGCCAACACCAAUAAAGUGAAUGUUUGAAAUUACUAAGAGAGAUAGGAAGACAAGCAAAUGAAUCAGGAAACAGCGUGGAGUGGAAAACGGAAUUAUGACUGUAAAGUAAAGUAGAUACAACAUUGUUGGCUUGGAAACCCCUAUGGAUAGGUUAAAUUGACUAGUAGGAAAUGCUUAUUUUUUUGCCGCACACUGUGGCUGCUUUGCUUACAAAUAUGAGAGUUGUGUAAUAUAUGUAUUUGUGAAUCAUAGAUGAGUUUAAUGAAUGCGUGUAUAGUGUGGUGUUGUGUGUGUUGUAGGAUGAUAAUGAUGAGAGAAGGAAGGGUGUGGAACCCAGUGCUGCCACACAGCCUACACGCCUCGAAUAGCACCAAAGGGACUGCCAAGCUUAAUGUCUCCAUCAAUCAGAUGGACCACCAACAUGUCACAUGCCCUCACUUAAUAACUGAGGAGAGGUUUGGAAUUUAAUCCAGGAAACUAGCGCAAAGUCUGAUGGUAAGGAAAUGUACCCCGCCACAUCUCCUCACCUUGCUGGCAGAGUACUGGCUGUGAAAAUUUCAUCUCCCCUCAGGAUUUGAACACACACACUUCUGAGUCGAGCACCACCACACAGGUGUGCUUUAGUGACCUCCACUAAAGGGGCUGGUAUUGUCACUGAAAUGAAAAUGAAAUGAAGAUAAGUGGAACGUGAAUUGAAAUCAAUGGAUGGCACAUUCACUAUGGAAGUUCUUUACUGAAUGCAAUAAAGACAGUGAAGAGAAUCUAACAGAAGGUGGAUGGACAACAUCAGAAAUCUCGAAAACAUACAUAGUGAUAUGGAUCUAUCUUGUUGAAGACCACAGUGUCUGCAAAAAUACAGAGGAGGUCUGCAUCUAUGAAGCACAAAGAACUGGUUGACAUGAAUGAUCAUCAGAAGUAUGUAUAACAUUGAGGAAAUAGCUAAUAAUAAUUUUUUACUGUUAGUAUACAGGUACUUUUUUGACUCACUUCACUGAAGGAUCACAUUUAUGAUGGAACAUAAGGAGCUUGAUGAUCAAGUACACUAAUUAAUGAACAAAUGCUGAUUUCCACUAAGGUACCAGAAGAUCUACAAGCUGUUAAAAUUGGGAACUGGUAUACCUGGUGAACCCAUACACUACAGACAAAAUUUCAGAAAUAGUUCAGGGGCAUUUUCUAAGUAUUUUUAGGACAAGGGGUCCAUGAUCUCAUGUGGCCCAAUACAAAGUAAUUUAAUUGUAUGUGAUUUCUUACACCCCUUUACAGUGAGGUGACAAAAAUUGUGGGAUUAGUGAUAUGCAUACAUACAGAUGGCGGCACUAUCAUGUACACAAUUUAUAAAAGGGCAGUGUAUUGAUGGAGCUGUCAUUUGUACUCUGAUAAUUCAUGAGGAAAGGAUUCCAAUGUGAUUAUGGCCGCACAUCGGGAAUUAACAGACUCUAAACGCAGAAUGGUAGUUGGAGCCAGACGCGUGGGACGUUCCAUUUCGGAAAUCCUAGGGAAUAUGGUGAACAGUGUCAAAGAUGUACCGGAAAUACCAAAUUUUAGGCAUUACCUCUCACCAUGGACAACACAAUGGCCGAUGGCCUUUAUUUAACGAUUGAGAGCAGUCUUUGUUGCACAGAAGAGAGUUAUCAGGAUUAUGAGUAGAGUGCAUUCUAGAUCUUCUUGCAGAAAUUUAUUCAAACGGCUGGAGAUCCUCUACAUGCCUUGUCAAUACAUCUUGUCACUAAUGUGCUUCGUGAACAAAAAUUAUGCAAUUUACGAAAUGAGUAGUGCAUGCCAUGAUCACAAUACACGAAGAAAACAUGAUCUUCACAUAGAUUUAAAAGAUCUCAGCAUGAUACAGAAAGGAGUUCAUUAUUCAAGUAUAAAAGUGUUCAAUAAACUUCCUGUCCAUAUCAAAUCAGUCAUUGGGGAUCAUCCUAAAUUCAAAACAGAGCUAAAACUUUAUGUUUUGGAUAAUUCUUUCUAUUCUUUACAGGAAUUCUUUGAUAAUGUGAAAUACUUCUUGAAUUUGUGUUUAAUUUCAUGCAUUUCUAAUAGAACUGAUUAUGUAGAUUAGCAUAUCACUUGUUAGCAGAAUAUUUUUAGAUGAAUUACUUUAAAUUUGUUUAUGUAAUGAUCUAUGUCAUUACUGCACUAUUAUUUAUGCAAUCAUCUAUGUCAUUACUGUACUAUUAUCUGUGUUGUUAUCUGAAUUUUUGUGUGUAAUUAUUUGACAUGUGGAUGUCCUUUUUCAUGUAUCUGCUUAUAUAUGUUAAAUUGGUUGCCUCAUGAUCAUCUACAUGUGGCUAUUUCUGUAAUAACCUGACACGAUCUGCAUCCUAGCGAUACAUUCGCGUCAGGGAUCCACAGAACUCAAAAAUAAAUAAAUAAAAGUGUUGCGUGGAGUUGUCAGUGCUAACAGACAAGCAACAUGUCUUGAAAUA